rnacentral:rRNA from 1 species
GACGGGUGAGUAAUGUCUGGGAAACUGCCUGAUGGAGGGGGAGUAACUACUGGAAACGGUAGCUAAUACCGCAUAAUGUCGCAAGACCAAAGAGGGGGGACCUUCGGGCCUCUUGCCAUCGGAUGUGCCCAGAUGGGAUUAGCUAGUAGGUGGGGUAACGGCUCACCUAGGCGACGAUCCCUAGCUGGUCUGAGAGGAUGACCAGCCACGCUGGAACUGAGACACGGUCCAGACUCCUACGGGAGGCAGCAUG